GCAGCCUCAUCAGUCUUCAGUCUACCAACUGGUCUCUGUUACUUCAUAUUUGUCGCUGAGGUGUUCAGUUUUCAGCUGAUAAUGGAAGUGGUGAAGCUUCUCUCUGCUCUCCUGCUUGUCUCUUUCCUUCCUCCUGGAUUCUCUCGCGUUGUGAACAAAUUCAGUGACAUUCCAGAGUGUGAGUCAUUCUUCAUGGAUAAAAUGACUCCAAAUAUUCCAGGUAUUUUGGUUGACGGGAUUGUCAAAGAUCAGAACCGCUACAAGCCAAUUUGUCAGAUGUUCAAAAACGUCUACAGAUUUGCAACAAUUUAUGACACAACCAGCAGAAUCCCUGUGUUUUCAGCCUAUACCUUCACUGGUUCUGCUGGAAGCAUUAAAAGACCAGCAUGGAAGAUUGAACCGCAGGUAAUCCUGAUCCCUUCACGUGUUUCGGGAAGAAGACCGUCAUUCUACUGGUCUGACCCUGGAUAAACAGGAGGGAGAACCUAACAUGGAAUUGGCGAUACCGGGAGUCAUUUACAACAACCAGGCUGUCAAAGAGGACUACGUCGGGUCAGAGGUCACAAAAAAGGUCAACAGAGGUCACAUGUUUCCUAAUGAGUUUGCGAUUGAUCAAGACACUAAGAAUUCCACUUUCACCAUGACCAACUGCGUUCCACAAGCAGAAACCUCUAAUGCAUUCAGCUGGUGUAGAAUGGAAAGUAAAGUCAAAAAGAUUAUUGAAGACAACUGCAAGGAUCCCAACAAGAAAGCCUACCUGGUGACGGGGGCGGUUCCUGGGGACGACAUAUUGAACAACAGAGUGAACAUCCCAUCUUAUCUGUGGUCUGCCUACUGCUGUUACAACAGUAACCAGCAACAGUGGAUGGCCAAGGGGUAUUGGAGCAAAAAUGAACAGGAGGUGUGUGGGAAGAAAAGGUUGCUUCCAAAAACCUUGAAAGAUUUGUAUAAAGACCUGGAGCCCUUUUACCCCAGUGCUGAAGUCAAAGUCAGUUUAUUUUCCCAGCAGUGUCCAGUUGAUUUCACGCUAAAGGUAGCAGGUGAAGAUGAGGAAGAUGAAGAUUUUUAUGAGACAGAAGUCAGUGGGGAGGAUGAGGAGUGUCCCUGUCCCCCUCAAAGUCCUUUCAUGACCUGGGCAUGGGUCAAAAGUCAGAUCUCUAAGGUGAUUGAAGAAGUAUAUCUAAACUUUAUAAAAAUAUUUUUAUAGGCUGAAUAAACCAAUGCUAAGAGCCUUCUAAAACAAUGGAAAUCACUAACAAUGGUAUUAUAUAACUUUUUUUGCUCCAAGUAUCAUUGGUUUGGCUUUUAAAAGUACAUGAAAAGUUUCAUCAGAAAUAUCCACAUCUGCUAAUCACAGUAGCAGGCAUUAUAGUACAUAUCUAAAAUAAAAGCCCAUCUCUUAACAACAACAAGCCCACGGGCUACUGAUAUGACAGUUAGUCUUUAUUUAAAGUUUUACAUUUAUCUGCAUUUUAAAAUCCAGUUUAGAAUGCAACUUUCCCAGAAUCCCUAGGUUCUCCAGAAAUACAUGUUGGAGGAUUCUGGAUUUCCUAGUUAUUCAUCAUUGAUUAAUGGGAGACGUCCAAAUCGGGUUUAGUUGGACACGUUUUGGGAAAGUUACCAGAUGUCAGCAUCCCAAAUAUUAUUGCAUGUAACUAGAAUGUUGUCUUUGAAAUAACAACGUUUCAUGUAAAAUAAAUCACAUUAAAUAGUG